GUUCUUGUAAUUUAAUUAGAAUUUGAUUUUGCAAAAAUUAGAGUGUCUGGCUGACCUUGAGCG
rnacentral:tRNA from 1 species